AUUGAACGCUGGCGGCAGGCCUAACACAUGCAAGUCGAGCGCGGGGCAGACGUGUGUGUAAUGUAUGGGGCUCUGCCCGAUAGCGGGGGAUAACUACUGGAACCGGUGGCUAAUACCGCAUACUAUCCGCUGAACCCCUAUGGGAUUAGCUAGUAGGUGGGGUAAAGGCUCACCUAGGCCACGACCCCUAGCGGGUCUGAGAGGAUGAAGAGCCACACUGGAACUGAGACACGGCCCAGACUCCUACGGGAGGCAGCAGUGGGGAAUAUUGCACAAUGGGCGCAAGCCUGAUGCAGCCAUGCCGCGUGUAUGAAGAAGGCCUUAGGGUUGUAAAGUACUUUCAGCGGGGAGGCGUUACCCGCAGAAGAAGCACCGGCUAACUCCGUGCCAGCAGCCGCGGUAAUUC
rnacentral:rRNA from 1 species